rnacentral:rRNA from 1 species
UACGGAGGGUGCGAGCGUUAAUCGGAAUUACUGGGCGUAAAGGGCAUGUAGGCGGACCGUUAAGUUAGGUGUAAAAGCCCUGGGCUCAACCUAGGAAAGACAUUUAAGACUGGCGGACUAGAGUCAUGUAGAGGGGGGUAGAAUUCCAGGUGUAGCGGUGAAAUGCGUAGAGAUCUGGAGGAAUACCGGUAGCGAAGGCGGCCCCCUGGACAUUGACUGACGCUGAGGUGCGAAAGCGUGGGGAGCAAACAGG